AGCUCCAAUAGCGUAUAUUAAAGUUGCUGCAGUUAAAAAGCUCGUAGUUGCAUUUCCGAGGCAAGGGAUUAGUCCGACCUUUGGUGGGUAUUUAAUCCUCUUGCCUCGUCCUUGAGUGGUGCUUCUUGGUAUUAAGUUAUCGAGGAGAUAGCCGCUCAUCGUUUACUGUGAGAAAAUUAGAGUGUUCAAAGCAGGCUUAUGCCGUUGAAUAUAUUAGCAUGGAAUAAUAAGAUAGGACCUCGGUACUAUGUUGUGGGUUUGAGAACCAAGGUAAUGAUGAAUAGGGACAGUUGGGGGUAUUCGUAUUCAGUUGUCAGAGGUGAAAUUCUUAGAUUUACGGAAGACGAACUACUGCGAAAGCAUUUACCAAGGAUGUUUUCA
rnacentral:rRNA from 1 species